AACAGGACAAAAAGGGGGAAGAAAAGACUGUAAGAACAACGUGAACGGAGAUUUAGGCGAAGAUCUCCGCCAUAAUAGUUCGCGUUCGUUCAUCCCCUUGUCCGCGCCUCUUCCGCUGUGGAUUCACCGCGUCGAGACCUUUUGAUUUCGUGUAUGUGUCCCCCUCUAACAGGAACGCAGUCCGGGUACUUGGUUCGGAACGCAGUCCGGGUACUUGGUUCUGCGCUAGCCCAGGGUUUUGCGGAGGUUUUAGAGGGUCUCUUCGAUUUCUGCUGGAGCAAGGAAGUGAGGGAGUCUCGAUUUCUCGAGUAAGAUGAAGAAGGAUGAGAUGAACAAGGAGGAGAUAGCGGAGGACUACUGCUUCGCAUGCAAGGAUGGAGGGCAUCUGCGAGUGUGCGAUUUCAAGAAUUGUCUUAAAGCUUACCAUCCUGAAUGUGUGGAUAAGGAUCUCUCAUUCAUGGAGACUGAUGAACAUUGGACAUGUGGUUGGCAUUCUUGCUUUAUCUGCCAACAGGCUUCAACUUUCCAAUGUUACUGCUGCCCAAGCUCCGUGUGCCGUUCAUGCAUAAAGGAAGCUGAGUUUGUUCAUGUUAAGGAAAGGACAAAGGGCUUCUGUAAUAAUUGCUUAAAGCUAGCAAUCUUAAUAGAAGAGAAUAUUGAUGUUGAUUCAGAUGGGGGAAAGGUGGACUUCAGAGAUUCUGAGACCUAUGAGUUCUUGUUUAAGGAAUACUGGGAAAUAAUAAAGGAUCAGGAAGGACUGAAGUUAGCUGAUCUGCAGACAGCAAAUACUCUUCUUAAAAGAGGUGAAAAUUUGAAUGGUGGAUCAGAUUCAGAUAGAUCUCCUGAAGAUGAUGCAGGAUCUGAAUUUGAUGAGAUGGAAGAUAAUUUGGAUGAUGGGUUGCCAUUUCUUGAGGAACCGAAAGGGAGGCAUGGUAAAUCAAAAAAACGAAAGAAAAGGUCUACGUCAAAGAAAAGAGUGUUUUCUAGUUGGGGCUCAGUGGAGCUCAUAAAAUUUCUUACAUCUAUUGAUAAGGAUACAAAAGAGCCACUUACAUUGUUGGAUGCAUGUGACAUUAUAAAGGAUUACAUUCAAACAAACAACCUGUGCGAUCCAGAUACUAAAAAGAAAACUAAUGUAGUGUGUGAUGACAGACUGUAUGCCUUAUUUAGAAAAAGGAAAGUGAAGUUUCAUAAGAUACACAGCUUGCUGGAGAGUCACUUUGCUUCAGAUAAUGUCUCAGAUGAUGAAUUUAGCUCAGAAGAGGGUGAUGACUCAUUUGCAAGGCACAAGAAGAGAAAUACAGCUGCUGAUAGCAAGUCUAAUAAAUCACAUCCAAAGAAUUACAAGGAUGAUAUUUCUGUGCCAGCUAAAAGUUAUUAUGCCUCCAUAAUUGGAAGGAACAUAAAUUUAGUAUAUUUAAAGAGAUCUUUAAUUGUGGAAUUUCUUAGAAAUCCCGAUACUUUUGAAGAAAAAGUCACUGGCUGCUUUGUGAGGGUCAAAGUUGAUCCUAAUGAGUUCUACUCUGUACCGGAAAGGAUGUACAAGCUUGGGCAGGUCACAGGUGUCAAGAAGGCCUUACAGGCAUACAAGAUAGGGGAAAUGUCUACAGAUAUGGUUCUAUGUGUUUCUGAUAUGCAUAAGGAUGUUCAAAUAUCGACGCUAUCCGAAGAUGACUUUGAGGAGGAUGAAUGUGAAUAUCUUUGCCACUUAGCCAAUGAAGGCCUCUUCAGAAGACCCACUGUCGUGGAGCUUGAAAAGAAGAUCAAAAUUGUUCAUGUUGAUAUAAUGAAUCAUUGGAUUGAUAAGGAGAUUGUGAAGCUACAAAAACUAAUAGAUCGAGCAAAUGAAAAAGGAUGGCGCAAAGAGCUAUAUGACUAUAUUGAUAAAAGAGAAAGGCUUCGUACAUCUGAAGAACGACAACGUCUUCUUCGGGAGAUUCCACCAGUGGUUGCUGAUACAUGUCAAAUUGAGCCAAAUACCAAUAGUCCACAUAAUUCUCUUGCAGAAAAGAAAGAAUGUAAGCCAAUUGAAGCUACUCAAGUCAAUGCAACCAGCAUCAAUCAAAGUUACUGAGAUUAAAGAUGAAAUCCCAAAUUCAACAAUAGCCAGCAAGAUACAAAUAAUGGAUCUCUUUGAGGAUACGAGAUUCAGGGAACAAGCCAGUUAAUCGAAGAUGCCGUAUUGUAGACAGACUCACUCCAUCCCUGUCAGUAGAAUUUCUUCAUAUACAACAUGUCAAGGCACAUGGAGAUUGUUUGUCUGAUCUCACAGAAUGCUGCAUCCAAUACUAUAUAUAUAUAUAUAUAUAUAUAUAUAUAUAUAUAUAUAUAUAUAUACUGGGUGCUAAACCACGAAAACCAUGUGUAGGUUUUUCAUUUUCUUGAAAUAGAAAGCUGCUUCAAUUAUCGUUUUUAACCAUAUGGGUGUCAUUGUACAUGGAUUGGCAGCUUGUCUGCCGAUUGUCUGAUAUGCUGAGUAUAGAUUGCAGUGGAAUCAAAUUUAUUGAGUUCCUAAUGUUGCUUGAUAGCCAAUUAUGAGAAUGCAUUUCUGUAUUUUUCAGUGGUCAUGAAUGCAAUGUACACACAUUGCAGAAAUCCGUGUUUCCACAAAUGUCUAUUUUGCAGAAAUCUGCUGCUGUUAUGAUGUGGAAGGUCUUCAGGUGGCAAAAGAGACAACCCAGGCUUCAAAAGUUUGCUACUCUUCCCUUUGUGUUACUGAAGAUUUGAAGACAAAGACAGUGAGUGAGUAGAAACAGUUUAUGCUGUCCGCUUACAGAAUCUGGUAUGUCCUUUUCCCUCAGUAAGAUUGGAAACCACUUUUGAGUCAGUUUUGUGGAGUUUUAGAUAUAAACAGCAAGGAAUAGUAAUUAGGAAGAUAUAAACUUUGUUGCUGCUCCUCUUUGUUCCUGCAUAAUUUCUACCAAUCUCCACAUUGAGCAUGAAAAUCACACUCACGAAUCUCAACAAACUUGCAUUUGGGAUUGGGCUUCCGCUAUUGAUCAUUUCCUUUAUCUCGAGAUGAGACUAAGACGGCUUUGAAAAUGAUAGAUAAGCCUGUGAUUACUGUGUAAAAGUCACAAUAAAAAACUUUUUUUUUGCUUUCAUUGAGAUUUGAACUCAAGACCUCCCGCUUACUAAACGGGUGCUCUAACCAACUGAGCUAUGAAAGCAAUCUUUAUUUCUAUUUUUUCAUGUUCCUUGAAUAUUUUAAAGAAAGAAGUCACGUUGGUUUGCAUGUGUGUGUGAUUUUACGUCAUGCUCUCGAAAAUUUUUUAUGUGCAAGUUAUAGAAUCAAAAUUACUUCUAGUCCUAGCAAGAUACAUUUAGAGUGUCAUAAUAACUAAGGAAUGUUAAUAUUAUACUUUAGUGUUAGAAAUGAUAGCCAACCUAAUACUAUGAAGUUGAAUCAACCUGAUUCAUUCCUUAAAUGUUGUUUCUCCUCCCUUUCUCUUGAUAACAAACUCCUCGAGUCGAGGGAUCCUGCAAAACUAUGUCGGGGGAUAAAUCCCUCUAAUGCUUAAAUCAAUAGAAAGCUCAAGAGAAUGAGUUUUAGUUUAGAGAGUUAGAGGUGAGUGCAGAGAGGCCCCUUUUAUAGGUCCUAAGCUAAGGUAUGAAUAUAGAAUUUUCUUUUUUUAUAUGCCUUGUCUAGGUAUGCUCACGUUACAUGAUGACUAGAUAGACUAUGCAAGCCUAGGUGGUGCCACAUCAUCAUAAUACUAGUUGGGCUUUUAUGGCCAACUAGGUGACAAAUGUUGAGCUUCAAUUGGUUUCUUAAGGUUGGAUGGUAUCUGUUGAGUAUAGAUAGAUUGACCGUUAAUUCUAGUCAUAUCAUUCAUUCUCUAUUGUGCUUCUUAGAAAAACUUAUCUAUAUUGAAGCAUAAUGUCUAACUAAGAACUCGAUAAUCAUUACCUAUAUUAAGAAAUAGUUAGGUAAAGACACUCGAUAAUCUUUACCUGGUUAUUUUCCAGUACUCUGAAUUAAGAUAACAGAAGGCCUGUCUAAAAUUAUGUGAAAAAGUGAGUAUCAUUGGUAUCCCAUUUACAGACACAUAUAUCCUGUCCACAUUGUCAUAAUGAAAUAGGUUUCUCAGACAUUAGGUGAUUAAAUAUACUUAAAAAGUUAAAUAUAUUGAAAAAUGAAACCUCAUCCUUUAAAGUUAGAUUAAAAGCUUAUACUGGAAGAAAAAAAUCAAACAAAAAAGAAAACAUAAAAUGACAUCUAUGUUGUGAUGUUUAGUUCUAACCGAACAACAUAUGGUUACAAAUGCAGUAGUAAUACCAAUGAUGUGAAUACUGGCAUUAAUUCUAUUCUUGGAACUCCUUAUACUCUGAAAUCUGUGUAUCGUAUUCUUUAUGCUUUAUGAUCUCCUUCUAUCACUGGUACACAACAAAAACACAUCAUAUCAUUCUUACAGAUAUUAUUUAAUGGCUUUGAUUUAUGGUUUUUUCUUUUUACUUGCGAAUAUACUCCUUGGACUUGGUCUUGGUUGCAGAAUGUAAGCCAAUUGAAACUACUCAAGUCAAUGCAACCAGCAUCAAUCCAAGUUUUUGAGAUUAAAAUGAAGUCCCAAAUUCAACAGUAGCCAGCAAGAUAGAAAUAAUGUAUCUCUUUGAAGAUACGAGAGAGAACAAGUCAGUUAAUAGAAGAUGCGGUAUUGUAGACAGACUCACUCCAUCUCUGUCAGUAAGAUUGGAAACCACUUUUGAGUCAGUUUUGUGGAGUUUUAGAUAUAAACAGCAAGGAAUAGUAAUUAGGAAGAUAUAAACUUUGUUGCUGCUCCUCUUUGUUCCUGCAUAAUUUCUACCAAUCUCCACAUUGAGCAUGAAAAUCACACACACGAAUCUCAACAAACUUGCAUUUGGGAUUGGGCUUCUGCUAUUGAUCAUUUCCUUUAUCUCGAGAUGAGACUGAGGCGGCUUUGAAAAUGAUAGAUAAGCCUGUGAUUACUGUGUAAAAGUCACAAUAAAAAACUCUUUUUUUGCUUUUAUUGAGAUUUGAACUCAAGACCUCCCGCUUACUAAACAGGUGCUCUAACCAACUGAGCUAUGAAAGCAAUCUUUAUUUUCCUUUUUUCAUGUUCCUUGAAUAUUUUAAAGAAAGAAGUCACGUUGGUUUGCAUGUGUGUGUGAUUUUACGUCAUGCUCUCGAAAAUUUUUUAUGUGCAAGUUAUAGAAUCAAAAUUACUUCUAUUCCUAGCAAGAUACAUUUAGAGUGUCAUAAUAACUAAGGAAUGUUAAUAUUAUACUUUAGUGUUAGAAAUGAUAGCCAACCUAAUACUAUGAAGUUGAAUCAACCUGACUCAUUCCUUAAAUGUUGUUUCUCCUCCCUUUCUCUUGAUAACAAACUCCUCGAGUCGAGGGAUCCUACAAAACUAUGUCGGGGGAUAAAUCCCUCUAAUGCUUAAAUCAAUAGAAAGCUCAAGAGAAUGAGUUUUAGUUUAGAGAGUUAGAGGUGAGUGCAGAGAGGCCCCUUUUAUAGGUCCUAAGCUAAGGUAUGAAUAUAGAAUUUUCUUUUUUUAUAUGCCUUGUCUAGGUAUGCUCACUUACAUGAUGACUAGAUAGACUACGCAAGCCUAGGUGGUGCUACAUCAUCAUAAUACUAGUUGGGCUUUUAUGGCCAACUAGGUGACAAAUGUUGAGCUUCAAUUGGUUUCUUAAGGUUGGAUGGUAUCUGUCGAGUAUAGAUAGAUUGACCGUUAAUUCUAGUCAUAUCAUUCAUUCUCUAUUUUGCUUCAUAGAAAAACUUAUCUAUAUUGAAGCAUAAUGUCUAACUAAGAACUCGAUAAACAUUACCUAUAUUAAGAAAUAGUUAGGUAACGACACUCGAUAAUCUUUACCUGAUUAUUUUCUGGUACUCUGAAUUAAGAUAACAGAAGGCUUGUCUAAAACUAUGUGAAAAAGUGAGCAUCAUUGGUAUCCCGUUUACAGACACAUAUAUCCUGUCCACAUUGUCAUAAUGAAAUAGGUUUCUCAGACAAUAGGUGAUUAAAUAUACUGAAAAAGUUAAAUAUAUUGAAAAAUGAAACCUCAUCCUUUAAAGUUUGAUUAAAAGCUUAUACUGGAAGAAAAAAAAUCAAACAAAAAAAAAAACAUAAAAUGACAUCUAUGUUGUAAUGUUUUGUUCUAACUGAACAACAUAUGGUUGCAAAUGCAGUAGUAAUACCAAUGAUGUGAAUACUGGCAUUAAUUCUAUUCUUGGAACUCCUUAUACUCUGAAAUCUGUGUAUCGUAUUCUUUAUGCUUUAUGAUCUUCUUCUAUCACUGGUACACAACAAAAACACAUCAUAUCAUUCUUACAGAUAUUAUUUAAUGGCUUUGAUUUAUGGUUUUUUCUUUUUACUUGCGAAUAUACUCCUUGGACUUGGUCUUGGUUGCAGAAUGUAAGCCAAUUGAAGCUACUCAAGUCAAUGCAACCAGCAUCAAUCCAUGUUUUUGAGAUUAAAAUGAAGUCCCAAAUUCAACAGUAGCCAGCAAGAUAGAAAUAAUGUAUCUCUUUGAGGAUACGAGAGAGAACAAGUCAGUUAAUAGAAGAUGCCGUAUUGUAGACAGACUCACUCCAUCUCUGUCAGUAGAAUUUCUUCAUAAACAACAUAUAAAGGCAGGUGGAGAUUGUUUGUCUGAUCUCACAGAAUGCUGCAUCCAAUACUAUAUAUAUAUAUAUAUAUAUACUGGGUGCUAAACCACGAAAACCAUGUGCAGGUUUUUCAUUUUCUUGAAAUAGAAAGCUGCUUCAAUUAUCGUUUAUAACCAUAUGGGUGUCAUUGUACAUGGAUUGGCAGCUUGCCUGCCGAUUGUCUGAUAUGCUGAGUAUAGAAUGCAGUGGAAUCAAAAUUAACGAGUUCCUAAUGUUGCUUGAUAGCCAAUUAUGAGAAUGCAUUUCUGUAUUUUUCAGUGGUCAUGAAUGCAAUGUACACACAUUGCAGAAAUCUGUGUUUCCACAAAUGUCUAUUUUGCAGAAAUCUGCUGCUGUUAUGAUGUGGAAGGUCUUCAUGUGGCAAAAGAGACAACCCAGGCUUCAAAAGUUUGCUACUCUUCCCUUUGUGUUACUGAAGAUUUGAAGACAAAGACAGGAGUGAGUAGAAACAGUUUAUGCUGUCCGCUUGCAGAAUCUGAAAUCUGCUGCUGUUAUGAUGUGGAAGGUCUUCAUGUGGAAAAGAGACAACCCAGGCUUCAAAAGUUUGGUUUAUACUUGAAGCCUUUUUGAUUCGUUUUUUCAAGAUUACUAGUAAAGAGAACAUGAUCCUGAUGCUGUCUUUUAUUUGGCCAAAUGCAGCUACUCUUCCCUUUGUGUUACUGAAGAUUUGAAGACAAAGACAGGAGUGAGUAGAAACAGUUUAUGCUGUCCGCUUACAGAAUCUGAAUGUAAACCAAUUGAAGCUACUCAAGUCAAUGCAACCAGCAUCAAUCCAAGUUUUUGAGAUUAAAGAUGAAGUCCCAAAUUCAACAAUAGCCAGCAAGAUACAAAUAAUGGAUCUCUUUGAGGAUACGAGAUUCAGAGAACAAGCCAGUUAAUAGAAGAUGCCGUAUUGUAGACAGACUCACUCCAUCUCUGUCAGUAGACUUUCUUCAUAUACAACAUGUCAAGGCAGGUGGAGAUUGUUUGUCUGAUCUCACAGAAUGCUGCAUCCAAA